rnacentral:lncRNA from 1 species
AUAAAAUAUAUGAGGCUGCUGACAUUGCAUAUUAAUUAGCUGAUCCUUUCCUUUCCAAAUUAAGAGCUCAGUUUUGUAUUACUUACACGGAUGUAAAACUUAGCUCUGUGGUUUUGGAUGCAUCGAGAGCUCAUUCACUAAAUAUUUUUGGAGCACUUAGUAGUUUCCAGGAUCUUCCAGGCUUGGCAAGGAAUGAGAGAGAAUGGAAUAGAAGAAGUCAAGAUUGGACAGGACAUGAGUUAGGAGAGAGGGUGAUGGCUUGGACCAAGGUGAUGGUCCUGGAGACAAAGAGAAAUUUGCAGCUUUCAGAUGUGUUUUUACAUGGAAGGAAGAACUGACCAGACAUGCUGAUGGGCUGAACAAGAGGAAUCCAGCCUAAGGAGACAGUCAGAAGUGCUCACCAAGAUUCAGAGGUUCUUCAUUGCCUUACCAUAUUUGUAAGUCACAAACUGGAAGCUACCACAGGGUCCAGCCUUAUGAGAGUGGUGCAGUCAAUCCCAGAUCUUCCAUAUGACAGGGAGCUGGUCAUCCUUCAAAGUGCUGCUUACUAAGAUGACAAUGAGACUGGAAAAUUCUCAUUAAAUAAACAAAUGGCUGGGUAAGUGCUUACUGCAUGGUGUAUUCAUGUUAGUAGAGAAAUAUCUACAAAAUACGCUCGUGGUAAACUCUAUAAAUCAUGAAAAUGUAAAACUGCAAGAAAUCUCAAGGUCAUCGUUUCAAAAUGCAUGCUAUAGUUGAGCAAAAGAAAAAAUCA